GGCAUUCUGUUGGGAGGCUGAACUCCCUUUCAGGGCCGUGUUGGAACCUCUUUGGGCUUUUGAAUUUGCUUUUUAUUACCUUCUCGGAGCUGAAUUCUGCAAUGGACCCUGGGGACUGGAGGACUUUGUGUGAGGAGAACCAGGCCCGUGUGGGCAAGUUCAGUGCCAAUGCUGUGAGGGCAGAGCGGCUCAGGUGACCAGCCAGCCCCGGUGCAGGUCCUGGAGCACACAGUGCCCCUAGGAGAGGGAUCACUUACCUGGCGACCUCCUUUCUAAGAGUUCCCAGAAUGUGAGCCUCAGGUCACCAGGUCAGAAGUCCUGAGGACGUCUGGUGAAAUGUGCAGCCACCAGGAGCCCCUAAAUUCUGACUUGGUGGAAGGUUGAGUGCAGGGCCCAGAACCUGAGCGAGUAACUCCGUUCUGAUGCUCACUGCCCUCCGCAUCCCUUUGCCCCCGCCUCCGCCCUCACGGGGAUGCCUGGACCAGGAAGCUCUACCUGCGCCCCGCCCCCCCUCUGUUUAUCAGCGAAGGACCUGCCCUGGAGUUUCUGACCCAUCCUCCCCGGAAAACGGAGGCUCACAUGGGACUGUGGUCCCAGCCCUCUCGCCCGCCUGUUCUCCAGGUGCAAUGACAACCGAGCACCAUCAUAAAGUGUUCUGUGUGCCUCCGCUACCUGGUCUUUUGUACCACACUCUACUCUGGGGCCCGGGAAAAGAGUGAGGUUUAUUCUGGCACAAUAACACAACCAAUGUCUGGGCGGUCUCUCUUCUGGAAAAGACAGAUCCAUGGAAAUGGGACCCCCUCAGUGCCCUCCCCCUGUUCCCUCACCAACCUGGGGAGCUCCUGGCUCCCACCCCUCAGCGGGAGGACCCAGCCUGGGGAGCCUAUCACUUCCUUAAAGCUCCUCACUUCCUCCCACCUCCCUCUCCCCGGGAGCGGAGCGGCAGGGUCCUGGGACUCACUGUCACUCACACCUCUGUUGUGGUAAACAGCCUCCUUUGCAGCUGCUUAUUCAGAGGCCCUCACUUGCUUUCCCCACUGGAUUUGGAAAGAGUUAAAAAUGCCAGCCAGAUCGGCCCUCUUCCCCUUAGGAAAUCAAUUUGUUAAGCUGGCACUCGGGAUUUUAUAUAUAUUUCUAUGAGAUCUCUUAUUUUUGGUUGCCUUGAAAUAAAGAUUUAAACCUUUUAA